rnacentral:rRNA from 1 species
GUAGGUGGCAAGCGUUAUCCGGAAUUAUUGGGCGUAAAGCGCGCGCAGGCGGUUUCUUAAGUCUGAUGUGAAAGCCCUCGGCUCAACCGUGGAGGGUCAUUGGAAACUGGGGAACUUGAGUGCAGAAGAGAAAAGCGGAAUUCCACGUGUAGCGGUGAAAUGCGUAGAGAUGUGGAGGAACACCAGUGGCGAAGGCGGCUUUUUUGGUCUGUAACUGACGCUGAGGCGCGAAAGCGUGGGGAGCAAACAGGGAUUAGAUACCCUGGUAGUCCACGCCGUAAACGAUGAGUGCUAAGUGUUAGAGGGUUUCCGCCCCUUUAGUGCUGCAGCUAACGCAUUAAGCACUCCGCCUGGGGAUACGGUCGCAAGACUG